UACGAACCGUGCGAACGUUAUUCGGAAUCACUGGGCUUAAAGCGCGUGUAGGCGGUCCGCCACGUCGGGCGCUGAAAUCCCCCGGCUCAACCGGGGAACGGGCACCGAUACGAGCGGCCUGGAGGGGAGUAGGGGGACCUGGAACUUCCGGUGGAGCGGUGAAAUGCGUUGAGAUCGGAAGGAACGCCCGUGGCGAAAGCGAGGUCCUGGGCUCCUGCUGACGCUGAGACGCGAAAGCCAGGGGAGCGAACGGG
rnacentral:rRNA from 1 species